GGACUACUGGGGUAUCUAAUCCUGUUUGAUCCCCACGCUUUCGCACCUCAGCGUCAAUAUCGAGCCAGUAAGCCGCCUUCGCCACUGGUGUUCCUGGUAAUAUCUACGAAUUUCACCUCUACACUACCAAUUCCACUUACCUCUCUCGAAUUCAAGACUCCCAGUAUCAAAGGCAGUUCUGAGGUUGAGCCUCAGGAUUUCACCCCUGACUUAAAAGUCCGCCUACGUGCGCUUUACGCCCAGUGAUUCCGAACAACGCUAGCCCCCUUCGUAUUACCGCGGCUGCUGGCAC
rnacentral:rRNA from 1 species